rnacentral:rRNA from 1 species
UUCGUCCAAGGGAAGCAGAGGACAGUGGCGGACGGGUGAGUAACGCGUGAGGAACCUGCCUUUCAGAGGGGGAUAACAUUCUGAAAAGAAUGCUAAUACCGCAUGACAUAUCGGAAUCACAUGGUUUUGAUAUCAAAGAUUUUAUCGCUUGAAGAUGGACUCGCGUCCGAUUAGUUAGUUGGUGAGGUAACGGCUCACCAAGACCGCGAUCGGUAGCCGGACUGAGAGGUUGAACGGCCACAUUGGGACUGAGACACGGCCCAGACUCC